rnacentral:rRNA from 1 species
GUGAGGAAUCUUGGACAAUGGGGGCAACCCUGAUCCAGCAACGCCGCGUGAAGGACGAAGGUCUUCGGAUUGUAAACUUCUUUUGUUCGGGACUAAUGAAUCUGUAGAAAUACAGGGAUUGACUGUACCGGACGAAUAAGCCACGGCUAACUUCGUGCCAGCAGCCGCGGUAAUACGAAGGUGGCAAGCGUUACUCGGAAUUACUAGGCGUAAAGGGCAGGUCGGUGGUUUGGUAAGUCUGUUGUGUAAGCUCCUGGCUUAACUGGGAGAGGUCAACGGAAACUGCCAGGCUUGAGUAUGGGAGAGGGUACUGGAAUUCCCGGUGUAGCGGUGAAAUGCGCAGAGAUCGGGAGGAACACCAAUGGCGAAAGCAGGUACCUGGACCAUUACUGACACUCAGCUGCGAAAGCUAGGGGAGCAAACAGGAUUAGAAACCCUAGUAGUCC